rnacentral:rRNA from 1 species
CCUGAGAAACCYAAAAGAUCGAAUGGGGAGAUUCAUCGUCAGCGCACUUCUAUNNGUAUGAGUUAUGAUACGGGUUACUUUCGAGUAUUGCCUGUACAUACUUGUAUGUUUGGAGGUGUUGUCGGCGUGCACUUCUCCCCUAGUAGAACGUCGCGACCCGYUGGAUGUCGGUUUAUGAUCCGAGUGGUAGYCUUUAUUGUUAUUAACAUUAAAGACCCUUGGURUUCUAAUCGGCUGYCCGGCGGUACUCGUACGGUAUUUAGCCGCAUUUAUGCGUCYNUGUCUGUCRCAAGUGCGGUUAGUUUCUGGUAUACGGACCUAGUGCCGUCGCUGGAGCUCGCCACCUGUUGGUGACAGAAUNUAAGACUGGCUAAAACAUAUACCGGUCUGCGAUGCUACUGCUU